rnacentral:lncRNA from 1 species
CCAGUCUAACAGUGUGGCGAAGGAGAUCUCUCUUUGAUAAUGAUAAGGCGCGACGUAGGGAUCGUGUUUGCGGAUUAAUUCUCUUUUCAGCUUGCAGCUUGCUUUGAGGACCGCGGUGGAGCUCGGGUUAAGGUUCAUCGGUGGUGCUGGAGGUGAGUUGGUUAUGGGGUGUGGUGUCGGCUUAUAUACUCAUCGGCAAAGCUGG